rnacentral:rRNA from 1 species
UUGACCUCAAAAUCGGGUGAGACUACCCGCUGAACUUAAGCAUAUCAUAAA